AGAGUUUGAUCCUGGCUCAGAACGAACGCUGGCGGCAGGCCUAACACAUGCAAGUCGAGCGCAAUCCUUCGGGAUCGAGCGGCGGACGGGUGAGUAACACGUGGGUAACCUGCCCGAAGGUGGGGGAUAACCCUCCGAAAGGAGGGCUAAUACCGCAUGAUAUCUCGAGGGCCUCGGCUCUCGAGAUCAAAGCUAGCCUCUACAUGUAAGCUAGCGCCAUCGGAGGGGCCCGCGGCCCAUUAGUUUGUUGGUGAGGUAACGGCUCACCAAGGCUACGAUGGGUAGCCGGCCUGAGAGGGCGAUCGGCCACACUGGAACUGAGACACGGUCCAGACUCCUACGGGAGGCAGCAGUGAGGAAUCUUGCGCAAUGGGGGAAACCCUGACGCAGCGACGCCGCGUGGAGGACGAAGGCCUUCGGGUCGUAAACUCCUGUCAAGCGGGACGAAAGCCGGAGGGAUGAAUAAGCCUUUCGGUUGACGGUACCGCUGAGAAGCCCCGCUAACU
rnacentral:rRNA from 1 species